rnacentral:rRNA from 1 species
GAUGAACGCUGGCGGCGUGCCUAAUACAUGCAAGUCGAGCGAAAGGACGAGAAGCUUGCUUCUCUGAUGUUAGCGGCGGAGGGGUAAGUCACACGUGGAUCCCCUACUUAUAUGACUGGGAUCACUUCGGGACACCGGCUCUAAUCCCGGAUAAUCUUUUGCUCCGUGUGGUUCAUAAGUAAAUGACGGUCUUGCUGGCUGUUCUAGAUGGUUCCGCGCUGCAUUGGCUGGUUGGUACGGUCAAGGGUUUCCAAGGCUACGCUGCAUAGCCGACCUGCGAGGGUGAUCGGCCACACGGGAACUGAGACACGGUCCAGACUCCUACGGGAGGCAGCAGUAGGGAAUGUUCCGCAGAGGGCGAAAGCCUUACGGAGCGACGCCGCGUGAGUGAUGAAGGUCUUCGGAGCGUAAAGCUCUGUUACUAGUGAAGAACAGAUGUGGAAGUAACUGAGCACAUCGUGACGGUACCGAAUCAGAAAGCCCCGGCUAACUACGUG